GCCUUGAUCCACCAUGCCAUUAACAGUGGCAUCACUCUACUUGACACCUCCGAUAUUUACGGGCCCCACACCAAUGAAAUCCUUCUGGGAAAGGUAAUAAUUUGCUGCCGCUCUCCCCUUUCUUUCAAAGGGUAUGGCUAGAAUUGAGUAUAAAUUAGUGGUAGUUGGUACAUUUAGCUACCUAGUAAAAAUUGGGUGUUUAUUGAACAUUUUAGUGCACAAUUUUGUCACAAAUAUCUGUGAAAUGGGCUUUUGUUGUUUAUGUAAAUAUGUAAUCUUGUUUUAAUUUGUUUGGGGGAGCAGGCUUUGAAGGGAGGAAUGAGGGAAAGAGUUGAAUUGGCUACUAAAUUUGGUAUCAGCUAUGCGGAUGGUAAAAGGGAAAUUCGCGGUGACCCGGCUUAUGCGAGAGCUGCAUGUGAGGCCAGCUUGAAGCGUCUGGAUAUUGAUUGUAUUGAUCUUUAUUACCAACAUCGCAUUGAUACACGAGUUCCCAUUGAAGUCACGGUUUGCCCCCCUUUUUUGUAUAUGUCUCAGUCUUGAUUCAUUAUGAGAUUUUUUUUUUUCCUUUCCCCCUCUUCCAUUGCUUAAUUCUUUCAUUUUUUUCACUUGCUUGUCAUUUACAUUUUUUGGCAAUGUGCUGAACCCUGUUAUUUACAUCAUCUGAUUUAUUGUUUGGUAAAAGUUAGUUAGAACCUGAAAAAGAGAAAAAUGAAAAGAAAAGAAAAACAAAUCUAUUUAACUAAUAGCAUGCAUAUUAAUUGUCUAAUCAUCAAAGAAGAUGGGACAAUAUCUUAUUUGAUGACUGUCAAUAAGAAAAUGCAUUUUGUCUCGCUGCAUGCUUGACGGAGAGACUUUUUGAUCAUCAUGAAUAACCCCUGAGCAAGUAGUGGCAUAGUGCAGUGCUUGUCACGUCAGGAGCGGUAAUCCCUUUUUAUUUUAGCAGGAUUUCUUUAUUGGAAACUUUUUUAUUAAACUAACAAUCUGUUAUGGUAAUGAAGUGUGAUUGUCUCGAAACAGUCUCCAUUUAUCGUUAUGGACUUUUUAUGGAUCCUAUCUACUUAUCAAUCUUCCUAUUGAAUAUUCACUAAUUCUUUUUUGUAUCCUUUUGGAAGAUUGGAGAACUCAAGAAACUAGUUGAAGAGGGUAAGAUAAAGUAUAUAGGUCUGUCCGAGGCUUCUGCCUCAACAAUUAGACGAGCUCAUGCUGUCCAUCCAAUAACAGCUGUGCAGUUGGAAUGGUCCUUGUGGUCACGAGAUGUGGAGGCAGAGAUUGUUCCUACUUGCAGGUAAGGGAAUACUGAAUUGUUUGUAGAUUUAAAGGAAAAGAAAUUAUGAGAGGAAUUGUUUAAUAUGUGCCAACGGAAACCUUGUGAUUGCCCAGGGAACUUGGCAUUGGAAUUGUUGCAUACAGUCCUCUAGGACGAGGAUUUUUUUCCUCAGGGCCUAAGUUGGUUGAAAGCUUUUCAAAGGAAGAUUUUAGACAGGUUUGUAAAUCUACCAAGCAAUUACUAGCAUUUGGGAUGAAUUACAUGUGCAUUUAGCCUUAGAAUGUUUUCUAGCAUCAUUAUUGUAAGUUUGCAAGCCUGGCAAGCACCUUCUCUGAAGGUACCCUGGAUCGACUUGCAUAAAGCUCUGAAUUUUUUUUUUUUAAAACAACCUGUACCUAUAGUUCACUCCAAUGAAACGCAUGGAAAAUCUAGAGUAAUAAGAAAAUUCAAUAACUUAAUACACUCCAAAUUCAUGUCCAGUUGACAUCAUGGCUACCAAAACUUACUCAUCAUUAAGUAAAUGUCUUUUGUUUAUUUCUUCAGUUAGAAGCUCAUGCGUUUCAGAUUGCUGUUCACAUUACACCUGUUUAGUUUUACUCUAUACUAAUGAAAUUUGUUAUAGUUUUCAAAUGUGCUUUCUGAUAUCAUGUAUAUUAAUUUCUUUGAAAAUAAGUCGUAUUUUCUUUGCAAUGAAAGUAUGAGGAAUUGCAUAUGCAAGUUUUGUUAAUUCUUAAAAAAUUUAACAUGAAAUUAAAUAUUAAAUGGAUGUACACAAUAAUGCGUCCCCCUAAUAUCGAGUUGAAGGUUAAAGUCCUUAUCCGGGUUUGGAUCAUUAAAAGGACACCCGAAAAAAAAAAAGGGUAUUGUACCCUUACCUCAACUAUUGCUGGAUCCUCAAGAAGUUUAAUAACUAGGACUCUCCAAGACUUCUUCAUUAUUAUGGUAGUUUCCAUAUUGUUGCAUUGCAUUUUUGCAUUGCUUAUGCCUUAUGCUUCCUAAAGUGAAAUUCCAUUGACCCAUCCAAAUGGGGUUUACUCCUUGUGAGACAUUUUCUUCAGUUCCCAAAAUGUUUUUCCAUAAUUCACCUCUUCUCUUUGCGAGAAGUCCCUUGACUAAUCAUUUUGUCAAUUUAAGACACUGGAACAAUUACAAUUUUCUAAAAACAACUUGAUUCAGUCUUACGUAGUUUUUCAUAACUACAUCUAUUGUUUGCCUAAUUUAACAUUUUUUUCCUGAUCCAAGGAUCAUAGGAAUCAUAGUGAAGCUAUUCUUUUGCCUCAAAGAUUGUAACUCAAUAGUUUUGGAUGGAAUCAGAGUGAAUGCAAUUAAUCCACAGAUAUGGAGGAGUGCUCUCUGAUGGCAAUGAUAUGUUACCAUGCAUAUCCAUCUCGCUAUUUCAUGUAGUUCUUUUUUUCACCUUUCGGUAUCUUUCCAAGCAUUUUCAUGCAGUCCCUUUAACGUUCAUAUAAUUUAUCCUGCCCUAGGACAUGUUUUAGUAGUUAGCUGCCUCUGAUUAUAGAACUGUAAGCUAAUCAGCAUCUUUCUUCUCAGAUUCUGUAAGAAUUAGUGAGAUUGCCUACUGACAUGCAUGAAAACAACACAUACAUCUCAUACCAAAGCCAUUAACAUCUUUGAGCCUUUCUUUGUGGACAAGUCUGUAUUCUCUAGCAUUUCAUAUUAUUAUAUGCAGCAGAUUAGGGCUUGGUACACUUAGGAACCCAGUGAAAGUGUUUUAUCCAAAAUGUUCUUUCUUUAAAGGUUCAGUUUCACUUUUAGUGUCAAAUGUUCUUUUUCUAAUUGUUGCAGUAUCUACCGAGGUUCCAAGCUGAAAAUUUGGAGCAUAACAAAAAGUUAUUUGAGCGUGUUAAUGAAAUAGCAACGAGGAAAGGAUGCACCCCAUCACAGCUUGCAUUAGCAUGGGUUCAUCACCAGGGAGAUGACGUAUGUCCGAUUCCUGGAACCACUAAGAUUGAGAACUUCAAUCAAAAUAUUAAAGCUCUGUCCGUGAAACUAACUCUAGAAGAAAUGGUGGAACUUGAAUCCAUUGCUUCAGCAGAUGCUGUAAAGGGCGAUCGGUAUGGGGGUAAGGCAUCUACUUACGAAGACUCUGAAACUCCACCUGUGUCUUCAUGGAAACCUUCUUAAAGGCCAUUGGUAUCCUGUCAUCUUCGACCGUGUUGCACAGUCCUCAAGCAUAUUGAGAGUUCUAUAAUUGCUAUGAGUUCCUAUGUUGUGUUUGGAAUAAAAUCAUUGUCUUUUGCAUGUGGAUUCUAUUUGUAUAAGAUAUAGAGGUUGGAUUUAGUGUAAGCAAAGGAUAUGAGACACAUUAAAUAAAACAACACGGCUGUAAUAUUAUUCUGAAAUUUCUGGACCCAUUGACGAUCCUGGACUUGUGGUGUAAUUGCUUGCUUAUUGGUUUACCAGAUGAUUGUGUACGACUAUUUUCUUGACCAGUGGCCGAGGGGGCCGACAUUUUGAGGGCCCCGGCUUUGAAUAUCAGUCGCCGGGCCGGGGCUUGCAUUACCAUCGGGCCUCCAUUACCAUCAGUAGGCCCGUUGAAUAAAUUUUGCCUGAGGAGUUAUUUGUUAAUCUACUAAGCCUUAAAUUUUAUUAAUUUUAAUUUUGUUAAGAUUUAUUUGUUUAUUUUUUACCAUUUAUGUAUGUUUUUAAAUAUUUAUAUACGAAUAAAAAAAGUAAAUUUUUGUAAUUUUCAUCUAAUGAGAAGAUACAUGAAUGAGAAAAAAAUAUUAUAUUUUAAAAUAUAUUUAUAAAAUAUAUUUAUUUCUUUUAAAACAGUAAAAUUUAAUUUCUUUUUUCGUUUUAAUUUGCAAGCACAUAAACGGUACUUUACUCUCACAGUAAAAGUCAAUUCGGCUGGUCAGUAUUCGGAUUAAUUUCACAAAGUACCCUUCCUUUUUGACAAAUGCUAUUUCAUCCCUGCUUGAACGACAAUAUUCAAUGUGCACCCUAAUUAAUGAAAACAUUUGUUAAUGCCAAAAAGAGUUUUAAAAAAUAAAAAGUAAAGUUAAAUAUUCUAUGAGAAAUUAAGGUGGCGUUUGUUUUUUUGUCUGAAAUCUGAAUAGACCUGAAUUAGUCUGAAUUCUGAAUAGAUCUGAAUGUCUGAAUCUGAAUAACAUGUUUGUUUUUUCGUCUGAAUCUCGGAAAAUAAGUAUUAAGUUGUUUAUUUUUUUCAACUGAAAAAGCUGAAAAUAUGUACUUUUACUUUUGUAUCCUUAUUAAAUUUAAAAGUCAAAUAAAUAAUAUAUUAAAUACCACAAUAUUUUAACAUUUAUAAGUAAAACUAUAUUCAAGUGAAUACAUAAUUAUUUUAGAAUUUUUAUAUAUAAAAUACCAUAAAUUUUAAAUUUUAUCGUAUAUAAUAUAAGAAAGAAAAAACAAGGAUAUUUUUGUGGGAUAAAUGUCUAUGGGUGAGUUUUGAGAUAGACAUGAAAAAUAAAUUAUAAAACAUGGAUAUUUUUGACAUUAGUAAGUAAUUGACUUAAUUCAAAUUUCUCCAUUAAGUAAAAAGCUAAAAAAAUUGGCUUAUUUUAUUAAGUCAAAAUUAUCUAAAAAGUCUCAUUAAGUUAUAAAAACAAACACAUCUAAUUAACUUAAUUAAUUAAGUUAAGUCACUUUAAGUCAUUAAGUUAAAAAACAAACGCCACCUUAAGUAUAUAAUUUUUCUAAUAAGACAUUUUCGAAUACAUAUAUACUCAAUUGUUAUUGUUCUAAUAAGAUAUUUCCAUUUCGAUUUUUUUUAAGUAUUACUAUUAACAUUAUAAAUACAGAAAAAUUUAGUAAGAUCAUUUACAUUAAUAAGCAUGAGAAAAUAUAAAUUUUAUUUAUUUUUAAUAAAUUUUAAUAUUUUAUUAUUCAAUUAAUAUUCAAAAUUGUAGAUACGGAAAUGUAAAUAAAAAUAUCGGUAUGAUUUUUUUAUUUAAAAAAUAAAUAAUUUAAUCUUAUAUUUAGAAGAUAUUCAUGGAAAAAAAAUUUGUUAAAAUUUUAUAUAUUUUGACUUUACUCUUAAAACUAGCUUCACACAAUUAACAUAUGGGAAAAUAUGACUGUACACCUCGUUAAUUCAUUAUAAUUACUCCACUCCAGUAUUUCAAAAUGUCAUUAAUCAAUCUCAGCCAUUAGUUUUUCUGUUAAAUUUAAUUAAGGGUGGUGUAACGAUAUUCAAUUUAUUUGGUUGUACAGUAAAAUUUACCCUGAAUUUUAUUUUCUAACAUAUAAAAGCCUAAUUAAAAUUCUUCUUUUAUCCGACUAAUUAUCAUUGGUAGAUUUAUCAUGGUAGAAUUUAUGUCAGAAUUUAAAAAUAAAUCACAUGUGCUAUUGUACACAUAAAAAAAAACACUACAUACUUGAUAUAUUUUCUUUUAAAUAAUUUUUGUUGUUGACUAUGUUAUUUUAAAAUCUAUAUUUUUGUAGUUGAUUGGUUUUUUUUUUUUUUUCAAAUCGACACUAGAUAUUGUUUAUAUAAUAUAAACUAAUUAUUUUAUGGAAUUAUUUAACUUGAAAAUAUUUCUAGCACGUAGAUAUUAAGACUGUGGAGCUGGCUUUACAAUUUACAAUCUUGGAUUUGAUUAAUUAAAAUCUUGAUUGAUUAAAAUUUUAGAUUGUAAAAUAUCUACAGAAUUAUAACAAGUUAAAAAAGAAAAACCUUGAGAUUAAGAAUCUAAAUGAGAAAAUGGAAACAAUUUGGACAUAGAGGAUUCAUGUGUCAAAUAUCUAAAAAUUUGUGAUUUUCUUGGAAAUGUUAGAGAAAAAAGGGUAAGCAGUGUAAAUAACUCAUUUUUGGAUAAGGGUGGCAAUGAUUUGUUUAUUCGAUUCGAUGCAAAUUAAAUGAGUUUAGGUUUGAAAAAAAUUGAUUUGUUUAAUAAAUGGGUAAAUUCGAUUCGAUUCGCUUAUUAAAUGAACCGAAUCCGGGUUUGAGGACAUUAAUUUGUUUAUUCGUUUAAGAUUCGUUUAAUAAAUGCAUUAUAAACUAAUUGAAUAUGAUCCAUUCAUUUAAAAUUUGUUUAUUAUUCGUUUAAUCAAAUUACUUAUUUAUCCAUAAAUAUAUAUGAAAAAAUUUUAAAGUUUGAAGACUAAUAUAGUAAUUAUAAAUGAUAAUAAAUUUGUAUUUUGUAAGAUGUUAAAUUUUGUCUUUUUAUAUUUUAUUUUGCUUAAUUUUUAUUAUUAAUUAUAUUUUUGCAAACAAAUUCAUAUUAAAUUCGAUUUGUUGUAAAUUCAUUGUAGGAUAAACGAAUAGUGAAUGAAUCCAUAUUCGAUUUGAUUCAUUUAUUAAUUCUACUAAACGAAUUAAAUGAAUCAAACCGAAUAUUCAUUUAAUAAACGAAUUGAAUCCGAAACCUAAGAUUUCAAUUCGUUUAAUAAACAAAUCAAAUUCAAAUCAACAAAAUUUUAACCUAAUUUAUUUAAAAUUUAAUUUAAAUACGAUCGAAUUAUUCAUUUUGCCACUACUAUUUUUGAGAAAAAAAAAAAAAAAGAAAGGGAGGCCACUGCCAGUCUACCAUUAGCAAAAGUAACUACAGUAGAUGUAUGCAAGUCUUUAGUUUUAACCAAUAUUUCGUUUAUAUUUGACCUUCCACAGUCUUCCCCGUUUGUCUGUUUUUCAGUUUUCUCACUAAAAUUUUCUUGCUUCCUUUUGCAUCCAGAAACGAGGAGAUAUUUUAUUCAUUCUCUUGUCGUUUUUGUUGCUGCAAGUAAAGAGAUUUUAGAGUAAUUUAUUAUACUAUAUUCGCUUAAUAAAAAUAUGACAUAUGUAUAUUUAUUUAAAAAAUUGUUAUAUAAAUAAUAAUUAUAUUUAGUUCAUGUACAUAUGUUAUAUAUGGGUGUUGAGACUUGAGUAAUUUAAUUAAUAGAAAGUAAUUGAGAAAAUGGCAGAGAUAAGAAUGGCAGAAAUCCCACGGGAUGAGGACUCUUGGGAAUUUUUCACAUUCGGGGAGGAUACAUGAAUAAAUUUUUACUUAAUUUCUUAUUCGGAGAAGAGACAUAGAUAAUUUUUUACCCAACUUCUUAUUUGGAGAAAAGAUAAAGAUGAGGUAAAAUCCACAUCCCCUCCCUAUUUUUUCCAUUUUAAUUUUAAUUUUAAUUUUUUAAAUUAUUAGUAAAUAAAUAAUAAAAUGUCAAUGAUUAAUUAUUAAAUAUUAGUAUAAAUAACAAAUAACAAAGUAAAUUAUAUUAUUAAACUUUUGGGCCUAAUUGAUUAGAGUCAUAUUUGGAUGAGAAAGUUAUGCCACAGAUGGAAGAUUUUAAUAUUGAGUUGGUGGAAAACAAAUACCUGUAAGUAUAUUAUAUUGGCACGAAUUGCCAGAAAUAUUUUGGCAAUCCUAAUUACAAUUGUUGCUUCUGAAUCAAUUUUUAGCACUAGUGGAAGAACAAGAGAAGCAGAAGGCGCAAGAAGUAAAUAUUUUUAUUAGAAAUAUUGAUUAAGUAUUUAUAUCCAUUUAAUUUAUUUCAUUGUUGAUAUAAAAAUAAUUUUUUUUUAUUGUAUGAUUAUGAAGAUUGAGGAAGAUAAUUAUUAUGUUGAUUUGUAUUUUGUAAUGGAUUAAUGUUAAUGUAAGAUAUAUCGUCAAGUUUUAUUUUUAUUUAAAUAUAAUUAAAUUAAGAUAAAAAAUAUUAGUUAUUUAAGAAUCAAAGACCCUCGAAAAUUCUCUAUUAUUAUUUAAGGAGGGGGCGAGAAUUUCCUAAGAUAAUUUUGUUAAGGAUAGCAACAUGUAAAAUAUCAAAGAUUAGUACGGGAGGUCGGUCUCCUUCCUUCCCCAUUGUAAUCCCGAGGCGGAGACAGUGAAGAGAAUCAAGCAUUCAAGCUGGGUGAGUCGGUUCACAAGGUCUGCAGGCUUCAGCACAAGGCUUAGGAUGCAUCGGCAUGUCCGCGUUCUAAGGGCACCCCAAGCCCGAUCCCGAUUUGAUCGCCUUGAUCCGCCAUGCCAUUAACAGUGGCGUCACUUUUCUUGGGUGCUUAGGGAACAAUUUAGCGAACAUUUUAGUUACAAACGUGCGUCGGUACGUGAAUUAUCCUUUUUGCUCGAGAUUAUUCAUUAUGACAAAUCCAAAAACAAUAACUAAAAGGGUGGCGGUUUUCUUGUGUUGAUCGCGUUUAGCCACUAGAACUGCUUUAACAAGUUAAUAUAAAUUUAAUAAGGAUGGGCUAUAUGCACUCUGAAAAUUAUUUUGAACACUCAUAUUUUUAUAAAAAAAUUUAUUACAAAAAUACCCACGAUAUAAAUUACUAUUAAAGUUACUUUAUUAUGAGCACAUAUAAUAUUAUUACUUUGGACAUUCAUUUAGGGCACUGCAAUUAAUGUUUAAUUUUCUUACUAUUUUAAAUCUUAAGUUUUUUCUUCCAAAUAUCUUAAAUAAAUAUCUUAUGUGUAGUAUUUACAAUUUAUCUUACGAUUUGCUUUAAAAUAUCUUAUGUGGCGUCUAUAUUCUUGUACAAUUUACUUUAAAAUAUUUUACAAUUUACUAUAAAAUAUUCAGUUGAUGAACAGGCGUCUGUAUUCUAUAUUUCAUGGAGGACAUGGCUUCAACUCAAAUUUCCAAUGUUAAUUCAGAAUGCAUAAUGGAUUAUACUAAUGAAUUCAUCAAUCAUAAGGUGGGUCUCAUUUUACAAUUCAUACGUCUAAUGUUCCUUUGUUAAUAUUUAUUUAUUUAUUUUAUAUGUAGAUAUUUAAAAGUAAGGAAGAGUUAAUUCAUUGGACUCGUGAAGUUGGGAGGAAAAAUGGUUUUAAUUAUGAUCAAGAGAUCUAAUUUUGGUAAUGGUGCUCAAAAACCAAGGAUCACCUUUUGUUGUGAGAGAAGUGGACAAUAUAGAAACACGAGAACAAAUGAAGAGAAUAAAAAAGAAAAGCAACCAAGGACUACUGGCACUAAGAGAUGUGGAUGUCCCUUUACAGUAAAUGGCCAUAAGUUGGACACUGAUGAUGAUUGGGUAUUAAAAGCAGUAUGUGGAGUACAUAAUCAUCCAGCUGCUGAGCAUCUUAAGGGGCAUUCUUAUGCAGGAAGAUUGUCAAAAGAAGAGACUUUGUUGUUAAUUGAUAUGUCUACGAUUAUGGUGCAUCCAAAAGAUAUUUUUAUUGACAUUGAAAAAGAAAAAUCCCAACAAUAUCUCAACAAUAAAGAAUAUUUAUAAUGCACGUCAAAGGUAUAAGGUAGCAGAGAUGGGUGGGAGAUCACAAAUGCAACUAUUAUUAAGUAAGUUAUCUGAACACAAGUAUAUUGAGUGGCAUAGAAGCUUUGAUAAUACUAAUAUUGUCAAAGACUUAUUUUGGGCGCAUCCUGUCAGUAUAGACUUGUUGCAUGCAUUUCCAUGUAUCUUACUGAUGGAUUGCACUUACAAGUGUAAUAGAUAUAAUCUUCCCCUACUGCAAAUUGUGGGAGUGACAUCCAUUGAGAUGACAUUUCCUGGUGCUUUUGCUUAUCUUGAAUCUAAGCGAGAAGACAACUGCACAUGGGCAUUGACUAGAUUAAAAAGUGUAUUGGAUGAUAGUGCUAUGCCUAGAGUCAUUCUUAGUGAUAGAGUCUUAGCUUUAAUUAAUGCCAUUGAAAGAGUAUUUCCCAAUGCAAAACAUUUGUUAUGUAGAUGGCAUGUAAACAAAAAUGUAAUUGCAAAGUGCAAGAAAUUGUUCGCAACAAAAGAGAUAUGAGAGAAGUUUAUGAUGAGUUGGAAUGUAUUGGUAUUUUCUUCCAGUGAAGAUGAAUUUAUUACUCGCUUCAAUGCUUUGCAACAAGAUUUUAUAUCCUAUCCACAAGCAAUCGAGUAUGUGACAUUUACAUGGUUGGAUAAAUACAAGGAAAAUUUUGUUUCAGCAUGGACAAACAAGAUCAUGCAUUUCGGAAACUUAACAACGAAUAGGUAUAAUUUUAUUUUCAUGCACCACUUCAUAGUUAGCCUAUCAAUUUAAAAUUCAUAUAUAUUAAUAAAUUUUUAAUUUUUAUUACUAUGGUGGAAAGUUCACAUUCGAGGCUUAAAAAGGAGCUUGGCACGAGUCAAGGUAAUUUUGAGACAUCUUGGACAAAGAUCCAUUCUUUAUUAGAGUUAUUACACACGAACAUCAAAGCUUCAUUUGAAAAAAGUUUGACAGUAGUACAACAUCAAUUCAAACCUGCUGAAUUUAAAGAGCUUCGAGGCUUUAUUUCUAUAGCUGCAUUGCAAAUGGUGUUAACUGAGUCGAAGCAUGCUAAUUCCAUUGGUAUUGAUGUGUCCGCGUGUGGUUGUACAAUUCGUAGUAUACAUGGUUUACCGUGUGCUCAUGAGAUUGCAGAAUAUAAAAGGGAAAGUCAACCUAUACCUUUAGAAUGUGUUGAUUCACAUUGGAAGAAACUUGACUUGAUUCAUAAUCAUAAUAAGAGAAAGGCAGAGAUGAGUUACCAACCGAUAUUUGACUUGAUUGCCAAACGCUUUAAUGAGAAUGAUGAUGAUACGAAGUUACAUAUUCUACAAAAGUUGACAGAAAUUGCUAAUCCUCAAUCUACAUCUCUUAUAGAACUAGAAGCUAAGAAAAAUACAUGUGGUCAACCAAAUUCAAAAGCUAAUGCAUCGACCCAUCGUGACCCAUCUGCUUUUGAGAUUGUUUUAUCAGGAAAAGAAAUUUGUUCGCCUACAAUUGCAUUCAUGAGACCUACAGUGAAAGUUAAUGGAAAUAAUCAACUAAAGCAAAAGGUAUUAUUUUAAUUGUAUUAGAAUUAUUAUAUAUAUUAGCAAAAGGUAUUGUUUUAAUUGUAUUAGAAUUAUACACACACACACACACACAUACACUUAUUUCUUAACUAUAAUUUGUAUUUUCACAUUUUUUCCCUCAUAUAUUGUUGCUAGGUGUAUAAAAAAAAAAUCGCUCAAGUCAAAUCCAUUUGUUAAUGAAUUUCCAGUUGCAUUGCAAUCAUACAUUCAUCAUAUUAAAGAUGUCGCACCUGAUGGUAAUUGUGGGUUUAGAACGCUAGCCGACUUAAUGGGUUUUGGUGAGAAUGGAUGGUUUCAAAUGAGGAAUGAUAUGCUAAAUGAGUUUUAGUUGAAUAUGGAGCAUUAUAGCCAUUUAUAUGGGACAUAUGAGAGAGUCAAUAUGAGAGAGUCAAUGAAUUAAUUCAUGCAAUAUCACAUUUUGAGAACUGUCCAGGAUCUGACAAAUGGAUGACAAUGCCUGACAUGGGACAUCUUAUUGCAUCAGCCUACAACGUUCUGGUAUUCCACUUAUCGAUGAAGCAAUGCCUUACCUUCCUUCCUCUUAGGUCCAAGCUAAUACCUACAGAUUCUCUUAAAGAGUUUGCUAUUGGUUUUGUAAAUAACAAUCAUUUUGUAGAGGUAUUUUUUUAAUAUUUUUUGAUUUUUAUGUUGAAUUUAAUAAGCAAUUCUACUAAUUGAAAUUAAUCAAACAUAUGUAGGUGUUCUUGUUAUCAGGCCAUCCUAUCCCCCCUUAAGCAAUCAAUUGGCAAAGAUUUCACAGUUUUUGUGCCAAAGGAUGGGAGACGAUAUAUAAUCAUCGCAUACAACAUUUCAAGGAAAUAAUUGGUGGCGACGUAGCUAUAAAAGAAGUAAUAAUAGAUGUUGACAAGAAUUAUCAAUAGAUUUCUUGAUAUAUUUUUUUGGACGAUUAAUUCUUUUUUGUAUGACUAUGAUUUGGCCAAAGGAUAUAAUGUUUAAUUGAUUUAUUUGUUUGAGUGUAUAUAGCAUUUUCAUGAGUGUGUAGAGUAAUUAAGAGGAUUAAUUUAAAAAGGAUUAAGUGAAGGCUUUGUUGGCAUUUUAAAGAGUGUACAGAGUAUAAUUUAUUUUCUUAAAAUUAAUAGAUGAGUGUACAUAGUAAUAGAGUGUUCAAAGUAAUUUUUAGAGUGUAUAUAGCCCCACCCAUUCAAUAAUUGACCAUAGUAGAUGGGUGUGAUUACACAAUGGUGAGGAAAACUACCCUACCACCAUUUUUGCAUGUCUUGCUCUAGAAGCAUCUUUUUACUUAUAGGUAUCAAUCAUGAACCAUUUACAUUACAUUAUGUGUUAAAACAAUCAGUAAAAACAUUCAUAAAAUACACAAGUACAAAAUAAUUAAUAAAACUUAAAAUAUUUUAAAAUUACUUAGUACGAGAUGAACGACCCAACAUCACGUAUCGUAUUUAGGUGAAAUUAAAAGUGAUUAUCGAAUCAGUUCGUUGUUGAUUUCAGUUCAUUGUUGAUUUUAAGAGAAUCAAAAAAACUAUAACCUAAAAUAAAUCUAAAUCUGAAUCAAACAUACACUGAUCAAUUGACUUUAGAUCGGUUUUUGGCUUAUUAUUAUUAUAAUUUUAUUCAUUUCUUAAUUUUUAGUUUUUAUUUUUAUUUUUUAUUCACCAAUAAUAACAUGACACAUAUUUGAAUUUAAAAAUAUAUUAAAUUUUUUGAUUUUCCGAUUCGGUUCAUGAUUCUAGAAUUAAGGGGAAAAAAGAAAAAAAAAAGAACCAAUUUUUUAUUGUGUCAAAAAACUGAACCAAAUUGAUAGUUUCUGGCCACAGGCGAGACACGUGACAAGAUUACAAUUAUGAACUUUCUGAUCAGUCAGUAGUAAGCCACGAAGCCUAGAGCCAAUAUCCAGAUUCCAGAAUAAAUUGUGGCGCGUUCCGAGAUAAAAGGAAACGUGCAAGAACAAGAAAUGAGGGGACCAGAUUUAACCCUUUAGAAUGAACGGGCAUCUCAAGCUAAUAGCUGAAAAUCUGUCCAUAGGUAGUGACAAAGAGGCACUGUUGAGGGGGUUCCAUUAUUCUUCGUUCGUUGAUCACUUUUCUUAUCAAUGGUGGCUUUUCCAUCAUAGGCGGAGGGAAACACCUUAGUGUUGCACUGUAACAGAACCAAGAACAUAUACACACCACACACACACACACACACACAAAUACAUCUUUCAGUGAGUGCCUUAACAUAAUAUAGUAUCAGUAACAGUAACAGUAACAAGGAAAUGGUGGGGACAGUGAAGAGAAUCAAGCUAGGUUCACAAGGUCUGGAGGUUUCAGCACAAGGCUUAGGGUGCAUGGCCAUGUCCUGUUUAUACGGGCCACCGGAGCCCGAACCCGAUAUGAUCGCUUUGAUCCACCAUGCCAUUAACAGUGGCAUCACUUUACUCGACACCUCCGAUAUUUACGGACCCUACACCAAUGAAAUCCUUGUGGGCAAAGUAAGAAUUAGCUUCUCUUUCACUCUUUCUUUUAAAGGGUAUGUUUAGAAUUGAGUGUAAAUAAAGGGUAGUUGGUGAAUUUAGCUGCCAAGUAAAAUUUGGGUGUCUGUUGAGCAAUUUAGUGCACAUUUUAGCUGCAAACGUAUUCCAAAU
rnacentral:lncRNA from 1 species